GGGGACUACCGUUAUUUCAGAUUUGCCUUGACGAAUCGAAGGUUAGGUAAAGUGCGCCUAACGCUGCGUGUGGCACUAGAGCCGACCCAAACUGGCUUGUGACGUUCCUCUACCAAACUUCUCUCAUGCAUAUCCCCCAGCCUGUCUCAGCCUUCAAGGCCACAGCAAAUUCGACACUCCAUCCUGUGGAAUACCUGGUAACACGAUGCAUGAACCUAGGGAUAGUAAGAACUACCAUUUUUCAUGGUGCGUGAAUACUAAUACCUACAGCUGGGAUCAAGCAAACUCUUACUGUUAAUCUUAGCAUAGACUUCCAGCUAGUUAGUACUUCAUAAAGAGCGUUACCGCCACAAGUCCGACCCAGUUCAUCUGACCAAGCGGCACAGAGGCACGACCACCUGGAAGUGAUCCUGGCUCGGUCGACCACUGCCAGAUACCAGGAAAGGCGAUGAAGACUCUCUGCUACUGAAGAAAAUCUAUAACGGGAGCCUAUCUUGAUUUUGGGGCUUAGUGUCCCCAGCGGCCCGGUCCUCGACCAGGCCUUUGUUACACACCCCCAGGAAGCAGCCCGUAGCAGUUAACUCCCAGGUACCCAUUUACUGCCAGGUAACAGGGGCAUCAGGGUGGAAAAACUCUUGCCCAUUUGUCUCCGCCUCCACUGGGGAUCGAACCCGGAACCUUAGGACUAAGAAUACGAAGCGCUGUCCACUCGGCUGUCAGGAGCGUAAAGUGGCACCACACUGUCAAAGCCUUUGAUAUAUUUUUCCCCCCAAAAUGGCCUUGUUUACUGAAUGGUGGAAUAAAAUUUUUUAAACCAGAAAAUAAUCUUUAAUACCCUAGCCAAGAGGCCUCUCGGAAAGCCGUUGGGGGGGGGGGGAGGGGAAAAAGUUUUGC